rnacentral:tRNA from 2 species
GGAAGCGUGACCGAGUGGCCGAAGGUGCUCCCCUGCUAAGGGAGUAUGGGGUGUAGAGCCUCAUCGAGGGUUCGAAUCCCUCCGCUUCCGCCA